UACGGGGGGAGCAAGCGUUGUUCGGAUUUACUGGGCGUAAAGGGCGCGUAGGCGGUCAGCACAAGUCAGUUGUGAAAUCUCCGAGCUUAACUCGGAACGGUCAACUGAUACUGCUCGGCUAGAGUGCGGAAGGGGCAACUGGAAUUCUUGGUGUAGCGGUGAAAUGCGCAGAUAUCGGGAGGAACACCUAUGGCGAAGGCAGCUCGCUGGGACGUUACUGACGCUGAGACGCGAAAGCGUGGGGAGCAAACAGG
rnacentral:rRNA from 1 species